rnacentral:rRNA from 1 species
GAUGAACGCUGGCGGCGUGCCUAAUACAUGCAAGUCGAGCGGCAGCACGGUCUUCGGACUGGUGGCGAGCGGCGGACGGCUGAGUAACGCGUAGGAAUAUACCCAAAGUGAGGGAUAACUGCCCGAAAGGGUGGCUAAUACCGCAUGUGGUCUUCGGACUAAAGCCUUCGGCGCUUUGGGAAUAGCCUGCGUAAGAUUAGCUAGUUGGUGAGGUAAUGGCUCACCAAGGCGACGAUCUUUAGCUGGUCUGAGAGGAUGACCAGCCAGACUGGAACUGAGACACGGUCCAGACUCCUACGGGAGGCAGCAGUAGGGAAUUUUCC